CCAACAUCAUGGCAGCAUUAGGACUCCUAUGGCUUGUGAGCUCCACAGCAUCCAUCCUUGUCAAAUGUGAAGAUGCAAAAUCUGAAAACAAAAAGAUCUACCCAGCAAAGAUCUUUGGACCAUCUAAUGUGAYURAAGGGGUAA